GCCCAUGGCGCAGCUACCAUGCAGUCGAGCGGUAACAGGAGAAGCUUGCUUCUCGCUGACGAGCGGCGGACGGGUGAGUAAUACUUAGGAAUCUACCUAGUAGUGGGGGAUAGCUCGGGGAAACUCGAAUUAAUACCGCAUACGACCUACGGGAGAAAGGGGGCAACUUGUUGCUCUCGCUAUUAGAUGAGCCUAAGUCGGAUUAGCUAGAUGGUGGGGUAAAGGCCUACCAUGGCGACGAUCUGUAGCUGGUCUGAGAGGAUGAUCAGCCACACCGGGACUGAGACACGGCCCGGACUCCUACGGGAGGCAGCAGUGGGGAAUAUUGGACAAUGGGGGCAACCCUGAUCCAGCCAUGCCGCGUGUGUGAAGAAGGCCUUUUGGUUGUAAAGCACUUUAAGCAGUGAAGAAGACUCCAUGGUUAAUACCCAUGGACGAUGACAUUAGCUGCAGAAUAAGCACCGGCUAACUCUGUGCCAGCAGCCGCGGUAAUACAGAGGGUGCAAGCGUUAAUCGGAAUUACUGGGCGUAAAGCGAGCGUAGGUGGCUUGAUAAGUCAGAUGUGAAAGCCCCGGGCUUAACCUGGGAACGGCAUCUGAUACUGUUAGGCUAGAGUAGGUGAGAGGAAGGUAGAAUUCCAGGUGUAGCGGUGAAAUGCGUAGAGAUCUGGAGGAAUACCGAUGGCGAAGGCAGCCUUCUGGCAUCAUACUGACACUGAGGUUCGAAAGCGUGGGUAGCAAACAGGAUUAGAUACCCUAUGUAGUCCACGCCGUAAACGAUGUCUACUAGUCGUUGGGUCCCUUGAGGACUUAGUGACGCAGCUAACGCAAUAAGUAGACCGCCUGGGGAGUACGGCCGCAAGGUUAAAACUCAAAUGAAUUGACGGGGGCCCGCACAAGCGGUGGAGCAUGUGGUUUAAUUCGAUGCAACGCGAAGAACCUUACCUGGUCUUGACAUAUCUAGAAUCCUGCAGAGAUGCGGGAGUGCCUUCGAGAAUUAGAAUACAGGUGCUGCAUGGCUGUCGUCAGCUCGUGUCGUGAGAUGUUGGGGUUAAGUCCCGCACGAGCGCAACCCUUGUCCUUAGUUACCAGCGGUUUGGCCCGGAAACUCUAAGAUACUGCCAGUGACAACUGGAGGAAGCAGGACGACGUCAAGUCAUCAUGGCCCCUUACGACCAGGGCUAAACACACGAAGUC
rnacentral:rRNA from 1 species